AUGCAGUCGAGGGGCAGCAGGGACUUCGGUCCGCUGGCGACCGGCGCACGGGUGCGUAACGCGUAUGCAACUUGCCCUGCACAGGAGGAUAACCCGUCGAAAGACGGACUAAUACUGCGUACACUCACUGGGAGGCAUCUCUUGGUGAGGAAAGAAAUUCGGUGUAGGAUAGGCAUGCGUCCCAUUAGCUAGUUGGUGAGGUAACGGCUCACCAAGGCGACGAUGGGUAGGGGAACUGAGAGGUUUAUCCCCCACACUGGUACUGAGACACGGACCAGACUCCUACGGGAGGCAGCAGUGAGGAAUAUUGGUCAAUGGGCGCGAGCCUGAACCAGCCAAGUCGCGUGAAGGAUGACUGUCUUAUGGAUUGUAAACUUCUUUUGUAUGGGAAUAACGGGGCGGACGUGUCCGCUUGUGAAUGUACCAUACGAAUAAGCAUCGGCUAACUCCGUGCCAGCAGCCGCGGUAAUACGGAGGAUGCGAGCGUUAUCCGGAUUUAUUGGGUUUAAAGGGUGCGUAGGCGGCUUGUUAAGUCAGCGGUGAAAUCUUGGGGCUCAACCCCGAAACUGCCGUUG
rnacentral:rRNA from 1 species